AAGUUAUCUAUUGUAUUUUGUUUGAGCCCAGAGUUGCUUUAAAUUCUUUAUAUUAUUUCCUUACCCACCUCUGGGAGAACAGCUAAGAUACUGUCUUGAUUUGAUAUGAUUAUCAAAAGAAUAAUUUAUGUUGUUAGAUUGGCAAACAGAAUUCAUAUUCAUUGCCUGAUACAAGUAUUGUCUUAUACCUUCUAGAGGUUAAAGAACUUUGCAUUUAACAUUAAGUCAGAAUUCUAGCAAGGACCUCUUAAUGUUUUAGAAAGCUACUUGUUUUCCUCUCAGCUCAUGU
rnacentral:lncRNA from 1 species